AACUAUUUUUCUGGAAAUUUUUAUCAAUUCUGGAAUAUUUUUACCAAUUUGUAUUAUAAAAUUAACAAUUGUUUAUAUAGUAGAAUUUUAGAACAUACGUAAAUAUAAAUCUCACAUAUAGUUUCUCUCCAUAUUAAUUUUCAUAGUUUUGUUAUUUUGAAGAUUAUACUUUUUAAAAUUAUACGAUAUAAUUAGAAUACGAAGAAUUAUAAUAAUGCAGAAAUAUUUAAAUUCAUAAUAAUUUUGGUGUUUAAAUAUAUUGAUAAACGUUCGUAAUAAUAAUAAUAAUAAUAAUCCAUUUUAAAUAUAUCUUGUUCUAAAAUAAGAUUUAAUUGUCUAUAUUAAUGUUAUUUAACUAUAUUACGUGGAAAUCGACAAUGUGGAAUUUAUAAUGGUCUAAUCUCGUGAUUUGUCUUGUAAAAACAAAUUCUAUGACGCAGUGUUUAAAGAAUCAUGUGGAUAAAGAAAAUUCAUCAAUUCCGAAGCACACGUAACCUUAUUACGGGCACGAUUGCCUUAAUUUUUUUCUGUAGAAGAUAAAAUCGAGAUAAAGGUCGAAAGAUCCGUGGAUUUGUUCAAUUGUCAUUAAUAAAUGCAAAAAUUUGUAAUGUAAUGUCAUCUCGUGUUUCAUUAGAAUCCAUUGCAUGCAUUGAAUCCAUAGAAUCCAUAGAAUGCAUUGUAUUUUCUUGUAAAAGUGGUGAAGAAAGUUUUGACUCUAGUGUUCUUAAAUGUCGUGAAAAAAUUCAUCCAAUAUGCCUGUCUGACACUGCACACUGUCAGAAUACACAGGCAGCCUUAAAAUGUUAUGCAGAAGCAUGACUUUACAGCUAUUCUAUUCUAUCAUUUUUAAAUAUACAAGAAGAAGAAUUUAGUUGUGAAUAUUAAUUUAGAUGAAAAUGAUUUAAGUAUAUCAAAAGAACAUUAAUAUCAAUGUAUCAUGUAACAAGAUGAACGAGAUAAAAUAGUAAGUAUUGGUAAGAAGAUUGAUAUGAAGUAUAUGAUAAAAAAAAUGCUUUCCAAUAAAGACUCUCCAAUAUUUUUAAUUAAUUUUAUAGUUAUUAUUGAAUUAGUUAAAUUAAUUAUUUGACUUUAUCAAUGAACUUUAUCAAUUUGAUUAUCAGCAAAUUUAAUUUCAGGACAUUUAAUUUUAACAUUAUUAGGUAUUUUUAUUAGAAAUUUUAUUGCAAUAAUUCCAAUUAAUUUAUUAAU